UGGGCCUGUGGAAGCCACUCAGUGUUUGGGGGCGACUGACCCUUCAAGGAACAGGUGGGGGUAUGGAUCAGAUGGGGUUCAUGUCAUUUGUCCUGAGACCUCUGCCCUCUCCCUCGGGAACAAGAACCACAUCCACCUUCUCCCCUGCAGCUCCUGGGCCUUGUGCCCGCCGUCCACAGGGCCUGGGCCCCACCCCAGCCACCCUGCCAUGUCCCCGUGUCCCUGAGGGGCACUCGAUGCUCGGUCGCAGCCGACCAGCCUGGUGAGAGGGACAUGUGCGCCGGGCAGCUCCGUUAGCUCCGUCCCCAGGCAGAUAGCAUCAUGGAGGGAGGUGAGUGGCGGCAGGGCACAGGGGACAGCAGGUGCCCCGUCAUGAGUCCCAGCCCUCACCGCCCUCCCCACGGCAUCCCGUCGUCUCCUCCAGGGCCUCACUGAACGGAUUCUCCUUCUGGAAGAGAGGAGGAGCUGCCAGAGGGAGGCAGCGGGGGCACACCCUUCUCUGGUGUGCCUCAGUCUCCCCCUCUGAUGCGCAUGUGAGCCCCAUCGCCGCCCGGGCCACCAGUGAGAGAUGGGGGCGGCUGCAAUCCUGUCUGGGCCCCAGACCACCUUUGACCUCAGAACCCGUCCAGGGCUCGGGGCGCACAGAGCGCUCAGGUGCGUGGAAAACCCACAAGAGGACAGCCUCCCCCCCACUCAGCCUGGGCCUUCUCUGUGUGCCUCUGACGGCUUCUGGGAAACCACGUGUCCGCUCACAUCGAUUUGCCUAACCUCGCGUUGCCUGCUGUUGACAAAGCACGCUGCCAGCCUGUGACAUUUGGGGCAUCUCAGUACUGGCACUUUGAAACUUUGCUCAUCGCAGUUACGCAAAAUGCAAACUGUGGGGGCAUUUGGAAAAGGGUUUGCUAAAGCACUUUGCUCCUCAUGACCGCAGGCUGGGGACCCUGACGGGAAGGGCUGGCCGCGCAGAGCAGACGGGCCCCUCCCCCAGACCCCACAGCACACAGGGCGCUCGGGGCCGCUGAGGAGUCACGUCCACACAGACUGGUUUAAUCUGGGGGCUGGGGACCGUUGCCCCUGGGAGCACACGAGCCGCUUGCAGGACAGCGGAUGGCCCCCCGGCCGCGUCCAGCGUGGGACCAGCGGGAGGAGCAGCCGCUCAGUCCACGCAGAAGCAUCGGGGCCGGGAAAGGCUGGCUCUGGUGUCCAGAGGAACGUGUCUUCCACGGAGCGAGGAAAACACCAGGGUAAGGAAUCCACACAGGUGGCGCCACUGCAGACAGGAGACCUGGUCCGGGCGCUGCCGCUGAGACCGGCCCGUGCAAACACAAACGAGACACCAGCAGCUGGCAUGACUUUAAUGGGGGUGGGGCGCAGGGCCCCCCGCUCGGCCUUGGGCCGCACAAACGAGACACCAGCAGCUGGGGGUGGGGCGCAAGGCUCCCCGCUCAGCCUUGGGCCCCGGCCCUGGCCCUCAUGGACUUGUCAAUCCACUUGAGGAAGUUGGUGACCUUGGUGUAGACGCCGUACUUCCCUUUCCGCGCGCAUCCUUCUCCCCAGCUGACGAUGCCAGUGACGAAGUAGGUGUCCUUGAACCGGGUGACGUGGGGGCCCCCGCUGUCCCCCUGACAGGCAUCCUCGGGGUUCGUGUCGUAGCCGGCGCAGAACAUGUUCUGGGUGAUGGUGAAGCUGCUGGACAGCUUGCACGUGUUCCUGUCCACGUAGGGCACCUCCAGCAUCUUGAGGAUGGUGGAUGGCCGGCCCUUCUCGUGAGUCUUCCCGAACCCGCUCACGAUGCCCGUCUUCUGCGCCAUGAGUGUGGACUCGGCCCAGUCCUUCUGGGGCAGACAGGCGGGGGCCACAUUCCUGCGGAAGGUGAUGGGCGUCCUCAGCCUGAUGACAGCGAUGUCGAAGUCAUAGGUCUCCCGGACAAACUUGUUGUGCUUGAUGAUCACGUCCACCUCGUGCGCCACCUCGUCGCCCUCCUCGCUGCCCGUGUCCCGUUCACCUGGGAGAUGGCGAGGACAUGGUGGCGUUCAGCUCGGGGUUGGCUGUGCACUUACGUGCACGGUGCUUUUGAGAGUAGCGGUUAUUUUUUUUUUUUAUUAAAAAAAUGGAACAUGGUCACUAGAGACUCUGAAAGAUAAAAUCGUAACGAGGCAAAUAAAGAUGACUUUCAGUUUCACUCCCCAGGGGCGACCGCCAGCCGCACUUUUAAGUGUGGCCAGUACUUCGGGUGGAUACUUCCUGAGCCUGUGCCACGCGGCAGGGGCACCUGGGGGCGGAAGGCUCUGUGCCUGACCGGCUGGCCACACUGUCCAGACGGCUGCCUGGCACCGGGGCGGCGUCUGGUCGGAACUGGGACGUGCUGAGUGUCAGCAUCAGAUUUGUCAUGAGAACACAGACUCAGAAUAUCUCGUUCUAGUUCAGAACUGAUUACGUGUUGAAACGAUAAUAAUAUUUUGGAUAUACUGGACUAAGACAUAUUGCUAAAAUUAAUUUCAUCUAUAAACUUUGAAGAUGCCUAAUAGGAAAUGGAACUAGAAAAUUAAAAGGCACAUGGAUGGCCUGCGUGUGUGGCUUGCGGUGGAUCUUUGCUGAACUGGUCUAGAGUCUGGAGGAGAAGGACGGACGUCACAAAACAGCCCCGCAGACACAAACACGAGCAGCAGAUGCUCUGUGCUCGGAGGGUUCUGGAAACCUUCCCAGAGGAAGGGGCCCUGAGGGGAGGAUCGCCGCGCUGGGCCUGGACACAGACGGCAAGGGGGAGGACCGGCCCCACCCCUGCCCCCCGCUUUCCCCUUCUCUGCCCUCCCUCGCCUGUGACCCCCCCACCCGCACCCCCACGGGGUUCGGCGUGUUAACUAGUGCCUCCGAGUGUGGCGCACUUACCUACCCUCACCUUGAAUCUCUUGGCCUGGUGCAGACAGUGCGCUGCAGUGAGGACGUGGUACUCGCUCAGGAUGGUGCCGCCGCAAAACCCCUCAUUCUCUUCGUUGAUGAGCAGGGCCUGUGGGGAGCACGCAGGAGCCCCCCCGAGGUUGGGACUGACCUCUGGGCUCCCCUCCCCAUCGGGAACGCAAGGCCCAGGGCAGCGCCGGCCUGGCCUGCACACCUGCCCGCAGCGCGGCCCCUCCUUUUCUUACGUGUCCCGCGGGGUGUGGUGCCAGCGCGCACUCAGAGACCUCACCGUGGGGCUCACGGCCCGGCCGCAGCCCCUCCCCAGGUCCUCCCCCCGCUGCUCUGCAGAAACCGCAGCUUUGGGCGGCUCCUUCCCACAGAGCAGCCAAAUGGCCCACCCAACAGACGUCUGCAGGGGCCCCGCUAGUGGCGCCUGAGGGGCUUCUGCCUCGCUUCAACUUUCUGCUCCUGGACCCCAGACUCCUUCUUCAGGGAGCCGUCCUGUCCCUUCCAGAGCUGUCACAGCACUCUACAGUGUCACCCGUAGAAAAACGAUCGUCAUUGUUGAUAACCUUUGCCGGCUACAUGGCUACGGAUUAGCGCACAGACCAGGUGGGCGCCAGUGUUUGGGGAGAAGCUUCUGGUAUCUGGGACGGCCCUCCCCCGACGGCCCACAGAUGCCACCACUCAAGGGCAAAUCCCUUGGAAUCCACGGGGCUCCCCCUGUGGGCGGCUUUCUCCCCGACAGGAUUUCAGAGUGAGGGCAUCGCCCCAGGGAGUGAGCGCUGGCAGGCCCAGGCGGCCCUGCAGCCCUCGUGUCCCUUCUUCCCCAGAGAACCGGGCUGCAAAUCUGGAAAUGGCGCACUUUUUCCUUUUUAUCUAGAGAGUUCCGGCACGUGGCUGGCUCAUGCCGGUUGGGGAACAACAAGGUUCCAAGUCUGAAAGCGUUCCUGAAGACCUUGGUGACCGGCACGAAGUAGCAGGGCCAAGGGGCGUCAGUCUUCCCCAGACCUGGACCCUGACUCUUCUACACGUGAUGGCGAGGCCGCUGGACUGGGAGAGCAGGGCUCUCGCGUCCCCUGGAGAGGAUCCCGCCGCCCAGGUCCCCACCUCACCCCCCCCUGGUCCUGUCUGUCUGUGGGGGGCCUUCCAAAGCCCCCCGAGCUCCACGCUGGCCCGGGGCCACCGAGCUCCCGCCGGAGCCACGUCGGUGGCGCUCGCUCAGCACACACCAACCCCGUGGUGACCACACGAGUGCAUGCUCCCCUCUGGGCCCGUGAUAACGUAGGGCUGGGAGGUGGGGCAGGUGAAGAAAUGCGUAAAGGGUGGUGGUGGCUCUGGAGGGUCUGUUGUUGGCUUUGGGUACCAAGCAUUUCACGCCCAGAUUCGCCAGAGACAGCAGGCACCACCCAGUCAAGCCGAAUCAGAUAAGCAUCCAAUGGCUUCUAGCACCAGCAUGUCCCCUGUUGUCUUUGGGACACAUUACACUAAAAGUUGUUCAUUGUUUGUCUGAAACUCAA